UUGAGGAUGGCGGUGUAAGGAGCUCCAGACUCCUGGACAGAGUGGAGUCAAUUUUCCCUUUAGUCACUGUUUUCUCCCCUCUCUGAUGGCUUCCCGUCUAACAGGCUGAGGGUGAUUUGGGGUUGACUCAGGGGCACCUUACACCCCCCCCCCCGCAUUUUCUGGAAAUGGCAAGGGGCAGUGUGUUGUAUACUCUGGCCACACACACCAGUGGGAGGGGGAAUGUUAUGGCAGAUCUGGUGUUGGGGGACUUGAUUGCCCACUGUGGCCAAGGACAGAGGGGUGCUGGGAUCUAUGAAGGGUCUCGGGGUAUGAGGGCCACAGCUGCCUGGCCUCUGCUCCUGCCUCUACCCCAUCCCCAGCUGAGCCCUGCAGCCUGGCCCCAGGCCAGCAGCAGGCUCAGCAGGUCCCAGGGGCGUGGUAGCAGCCAGCGGUGGAGCCAGCCUAUAUCGGCAAGGCAGUCAGAGAGGCAGCAUAGUCCAUCGGGAACAGCUGAGCUCACUGCAGUCAGUGCCUGGAGAGGAAGCAUGGCCAUGAGCCCUCUGCUGUACUACGCCUUGCCUGCCCUGGGCAGCUAUGUUGUGAUCUCCAUGUUCUUCCUGCGCCGGCCUCACCUGCUGCACACACCCUGGGUCCCAGCCUUCUUUCCCCGCCUAGGGGCCCACCGGGGAGGAUCUGGAGAGCGGCUGGAGAACACCAUGGAGGCCAUGGAGAACUCCGUGGCCCAGCGAGCAGACCUCCUGGAGCUCGACUGCCAGCUGACACGGGAUGGCGUAGUGGUGGUAUCGCAUGAUGAGAACCUGUCCCGCCAGUCAGGUGUAAAUAGGGAUGUGGGCAGCCUGGACUUUGAGGAGCUGCCCCUCUACAAGGAAGAGCUGGAAGUGUACUUCUCACCAGGCCACUUUGCACAUGGGUCAGACCGGCAUAUGACACGUCUGGAGGACGUGUUCCAGAGGUUCCCUCGGAUGCCCAUGAGCUUGGAGGUCAAAGGGGAAAAUGUAGAGCUCAUUCACAAGAUAGCAGGCCUGGUGACGCGAUUUGACCGCUGUGAAAUCACCAUCUGGGCCUCGGAGAAGAGUUCAAUUAUGAAGAAGUGCAGGGCUGCCAACCCCGAGAUGCCGUUCUCCUUCACAAUAAGCCGAGGAUUCCGGUUGCUGCUGCUCUAUUACCUGGGGCUGCUGCCCUUCAUCCCAAUCCCUGAGAGGUUCCUCAUCUGCUUCUUGCCUACCAUCAUCAACAGGACCUACUUCCCAUUUUCCUCCCCUGGGCUGAACCAGCUGGCUGCCGUGCUUUCCAAAUGGUUCAUCAUGAGGAAAAGUCUGAUCCAACACCUGGAGCAGCGAGGGGUGCAGGCCCUGUGAUACCGGGGACAGAGCAUGGAGCUUACCAUCAAGGGCAGAGGAAGGAAAUGAAGAAGGUCAUCGCGGGGGUGAUGAGUGGACAGAAAGGAAACAGUGCUGUGUGGGGUUAGAGAAGGCCUUCUGGAAGAAGUGAGGAGCUGGCUCAUGGGGAGGGGAAAGGAAGAGCAUGAGAUGGUAGGAGGUAGGAGGCUCAGCGUGUGGGAAGGCCAGGAGGAAUAAGAGGCCAUGGCAGUCCGAGGAACUGAGACGGGUUCUGCCAGGCUGCAGUUGAGGAAGCAGCGCAAGGGGCGCUAGAGGAGGCAGCAGAGGCCGAGGCGGGCAGCUGGUGCACCUCAGUGAGGAGCCUCGACUUCAGCCCAAAGGGAGGGGAAGCUUUUGAGGGGCUUAAGCAGGGAGAGACCUGAUCCAGUUGAGGUUUGUUGAGUGAGGGUCACUCCAGCCACCAUGUGGAGAUGGGAUUGUGGGGCCAGUGUGGAAGUAGAGUCUCAUUAGGAGGCUGAGGCUGCCAGUGACAGGACUUUGGCUUGGGUGGCAGCAGUGGGGAUGGAUGGGAGAGUUAGCCCACAGACAGGCCAGGACUCGACCACUGAUUAGAUGUGGGGCGAGGGAGGCCUGGGGAUGACAUAGGUCUUUCCGAUCAGCCCUCUCACUCUGCGGGUCUUCACAGCUCUUGGAGGUUGGACCGUCACUCUCAUUUGUCACAUUAAGAAAGCAAGAGGUCCAGUGACUUGCCCAGGGUACAAAUACUACGACUGCCUGCCUCACUACCCACAAGAGGGGACUCAGGAGGCAGGAAGAUGCAGAGCCGCAGCAGAUGCGGGCAGGCUGGGCGGCACUGAUCACUGGUAAACCUUCCGCAACUGGCUCUCCGGAAAAAAACACAGCACCCUAAUUUGAGCAUUGGAUAAUUUUCCUGCUGUAUAUAUUCCCACAGUGGCCAAUUUCAGGCUGCCAACAUGAAGUCACUGAACACAGAGUUGAGAAGCACACCAUUAUAUAGUAUUUCUAUCUUAUACAUUCAACAGACAUAACCUCCAGAGCACAGGUGAUAUUUUGGUGCCUUA